rnacentral:rRNA from 1 species
AUUGAACGCUGGCGGCAGGCCUAACACAUGCAAGUCGAACGAGUGGCGGACGGGUGAGUAAUGUCUGGGAAACUGCCCGCUGGCGGGGGAUAACUACUGGAAACGGUCGCUAAUACCGCAUACCAUCGGAUGUGCCCAGAUGUGAUUAGCUAGUCGGUGGGGUAAUGGCUCACCUAGGCGACGACCCCUAGCUGGUCUGAGAGGAUGACCAGCCACACUGGAACAGAGACACGGUCCAGACUCCUACGGGCGGAAGCAGUGGGGAAUUUUGCACAAUGGGCGCAAGCCUGAGAGAGCCAUGCCGCGUGGAUGAAGAAGGCAUUCGGGUUGUAAAGUACUUUCAGCGAGGAGGCGUUACUCGCAGAAGAAGCACCGGCUAACUCCGUGCCAGCAGCCGCGGUAAUAC